rnacentral:rRNA from 1 species
UACGAAGGGGGCUAGCGCUGUUCGGAAUUACUGGGCGUAAAGCGCACGUAGGCGGAUAUUUAAGUCAGGGGUGAAAUCCCAGAGCUCAACUCUGGAACUGCCUUUGAUACUGGGUAUCUUGAGUAUGGAAGAGGUAAGUGGAAUUGCGAGUGUAGAGGUGAAAUUCGUAGAUAUUCGCAGGAACACCAGUGGCGAAGGCGGCUUACUGGUCCAUUACUGACGCUGAGGUGCGAAAGCGUGGGGAGCAAACAGG